rnacentral:rRNA from 1 species
GAUGAACGCUGGCGGCGUGCCUAAUACAUGCAAGUCGAGCGAACAGACGAGGAGCUUGCUCCUCUGACGUUAGCGGCGGACGGGUGAGUAACACGUGGAUAACCUACCUAUAAGACUGGGAUAACUUCGGGAAACCGGAGCUAAUACCGGAUAACAUGUUGAACCGCAUGGUUCAACAGUGAAAGACGGUCUUGCUGUCACUUAUAGAUGGAUCCGCGCCGCAUUAGCUAGUUGGUAAGGUAACGGCUUACCAAGGCAACGAUGCGUAGCCGACCUGAGAGGGUGAUCGGCCACACUGGAACUGAGACACGGUCCAGACUCCUACGGGAGGCAGCAGUAGGGAAUCUUCCGCAAUGGGCGAAAGCCUGACGGAGCAACGCCGCGUGAGUGAAGAAGGUCUUCGGAUCGUAAAACUCUGUUAUUAGGGAAGAACAAAUGUGUAAGUACCUAUGCACGUCUUGACGGUUCCUAAUCAGAAAGCCACGGCUAACUACGUG